UACGAAGGGGGCUAGCGUUGCUCGGAAUUACUGGGCGUAAAGCGCACGUAGGCGGCUUUCUAAGUCGGGGGUGAAAUCCUGGAGCUCAACUCCAGAACUGCCUUCGAUACUGGAGAGCUCGAGUCCGGGAGAGGUGAGUGGAACUGCGAGUGUAGAGGUGAAAUUCGUAGAUAUUCGCGAGAACACCAGUGGCGAAGGCGGCUCACUGGCCCGGUACUGACGCUGAGGUGCGAAAGCGUGGGGAGCAAACAGG
rnacentral:rRNA from 1 species